AUUGAACGCUGGCGGCAGGCUUAACACAUGCAAGUCGAGCGGGGGAAGGUAGCUUGCUACCGGACCUAGCGGCGGACGGGUGAGUAAUGCUUAGGAAUCUGCCUAUUAGUGGGGGACAACAUCUCGAAAGGGAUGCUAAUACCGCAUACGUCCUACGGGAGAAAGCAGGGGAUCUUCGGACCUUGCGCUAAUAGAUGAGCCUAAGUCGGAUUAGCUAGUUGGUGGGGUAAAGGCCUACCAAGGCGACGAUCUGUAGCGGGUCUGAGAGGAUGAUCCGCCACACGGGGACUGAGACACGGCCCAGACUCCUACGGGAGGCAGCAGUGGGGAAUAUUGGACAAUGGGGGGAACCCUGAUCCAGCCAUGCCGCGUGUGUGAAGAAGGCCUUAUGGUUGUAAAGCACUUUAAGCGAGGAGGAGGCUACUCUAGUUAAUACCUAGGGAUAGUGGACGUUACUCGCAGAAUAGGCACCGGCUAACUCUGUGCCAGCAGCCGCAGUAA
rnacentral:rRNA from 1 species